rnacentral:lncRNA from 1 species
AUUGAUUUUCCUGUUAGAACACCUGGACUUGACCCGUUCGAACAUUUUCUUGAUCUAAGAUUGUGAAUAUUACGAAACCCUAGGAAUCUAGAACGGUGUAUAUUGCGGUCGUAGGAUAACUUUGUGUGACCUAUCUGUGCUUUUGGUUGUUCUAGUUUUUUAAAAAUGUCUUCACGCUUUGAAGUUGGAAUUUUUAAUGGGAAAGGGGAUUUUUCAAUUUGGCAACAAAAGAUGAAGGGUAUUUUGGUCCAACAAAAAGUUUCAAAGACCAUAGAUGGCAUAUUUCCUGC